rnacentral:rRNA from 1 species
UACGGAGGGGGCUAGCGUUGUUCGGAAUUACUGGGCGUAAAGCGCACGUAGGCGGCUUUGUAAGUUAGAGGUGAAAGCCCAGGGCUCAACCCUGGAAUUGCCUUUAAGACUGCAUCGCUUGAACAUCGGAGAGGUAAGUGGAAUUCCGAGUGUGGAGGUGAAAUUCGUAGAUAUUCGGAAGAACACCAGUGGCGAAGGCGACUUACUGGACGAUUGUUGACGCUGAGGUGCGAAAGCGUGGGGAGCAAACAGG